CAGCACAAUUUAUAGGGGCUCCAGCCACAGAACCCAAGAUGGGUAGAGCAAAUGAUUUUUUUUUCCUCCCCUACAGAAGCUUCCUCCAAGAAAUGACUUGCAUGUUAUUCUCCCUCAAGAUGAAAAGCAGUCUCAAUUCCAGGGUCAGCAUCUGCCCCAAAGAGGACACUUUCCCACCAGGCUUAUGAUGAAGAGAUUUGGGACCAUGAGUCUGCCUUAAGGAGUCUCGUGCCUUAAGGGAGAUGCUGCAGAAGGCCAGGGAAGCCAGUCCCACACCGGGAAGACCCCACGGCAGCCCAGGCUCACACAGUGGAGGCCUCAGAUGCAGCAGCCGAGCAAGAAAAAAUAUCUUGGAGCAAUCCAGCCUCCUCUGCCCCUCCAGAAUCCCUGGCUCACGCUGGAGUGUGGAUCUCUGCACCCUCCCUAGGCAAGCCAUCAUUGGUAGGGGCCUCUGCGUUGUCAGGAGGACCAAACAAGGCCGGGAAGGGCCUCUACCCACCACAUGGACCCUCCCAUGGGGCAAGUGGCUCACUCCUAGGCCUUCAGUCCUGGCAGGCAGGCCUUGGGGCGCUGGGAUUACAGACACAGGAGCAGCUAAGGGCCUGGCUGGCAAGCAGGGGAACCGAGCAGUCACCCUGGACAACCUUGGAAAGCAAAGCUCUUUAGAAAGAGCCACGCUAUGGCGCUGGGAAACAGGCCAAGUGAGCUCCAGAUGCAGGAAAGCCAUCCCCGUCCAGCGCCGGCUGCUGGAAGGAAACACGCACCUCACGAGCACCCACUGUGUGCGUGCCCUGCGCAAAAGGACUCUGCAAAGGAGGUGGGAUUUGCUCCCGUGGCCCAGAGGAGACAACAGAGGACAGAAGGAAAGUCACAAAAUCAGGCUCCCCCGGUCAGGGUGACACAGGAGUGCACAGGUGGUAACUGUGAUGGGGCACCCACUGUGUGCCUGAGCUAAGCGGGCAGAGGGAGGGGGUGCCCAGACCCCCAUUCUCAUCAGGCACUGCUCUAAGUGACCCACACAGAGUCACAUAGUUAACCCUUGCAGCGGGAGUCCCAUGGGAGGUGGGGUAGGUGCGAUCAUCACUCUCCAUAGCAGGAGGUCAGUGGUGGAGCGGGUUGUCAGGAAGAGGCUAAGGGUGGGUUCAAACCCAGACAGUCCAGUCACUGCCUCUUUGGUAGGGCAAGGGCCAGAGGCUGAGGAGCUGCUUUGUAUCAGGGCUGGGGACAGGCCAGAGGGUCUCACCCUCCCUGGAGCUCAGGUCCCCACCAGGGUGCCAGCCCGCGGUUCUGACCAUGGCCACUAGGUGGCAGGGCCAUGCAGGCGGUGGUGGCCUGGCCUGGGAGCAGGGCCCAGGAGCAUCCUCCUGGGGGGUAGGGUGGGGGGGGACAGCCCUGACCUGACCACCCACCUCCAGCUCCCCGGAGAAGUCUGGUGUCCGAGGCUUGCUGUGGUUGCGGAGCGUCAGGCUGAGCUGCAGGCCGUGGUCUGGGUCCGGGGCGAGGCCCAGCUGGCAGUGGGAAUGCAGCAGGAGCCCCCUGUGUCCCAGGGUGUGCUCCCCAGAGACUGAGAGAGCCUGGAACGAGAAGGUGGGUGUUAGCGGUCACAGUCACAGAGGCUCAGGGGCAGCAGCUUCCCCUCCCCACCAAGCCCUGGCCUGAUCCAGACCACUAGGGCUGUCGCAAUAGCCUCUUGGGUCUCCC
rnacentral:lncRNA from 1 species